ACCUGCGGAGGGAUCAUUACCGAGUUUACAACUCCCAAACCCAUGUGAACAUACCUAUUGUUGCUUCGGCGGGAUUGCCCCGGGCGCCUCGUGUGCCCCGGAUCAGGCGCCCGCCUAGGAACUUUAACUCUUGUUUUAUUUUGAAUCUUCUGAGUAGUUUUUACAAAUAAAUAAAAACUUUCAACAACGGAUCUCUUGGUUCUGGCAUCGAUGAAGAACGCAGCGAAAUGCGAUAAGUAAUGUGAAUUGCAGAAUUCAGUGAAUCAUCGAAUCUUUGAACGCACAUUGCGCCCGCCAGUAUUCUGGCGGGCAUGCCUGUCUGAGCGUCAUUUCAACCCUCAUGCCCCUAGGGCGUGGUGUUGGGGAUCGGCCAAAGCCCGCGAGGGACGGCCGGCCCCUAAAUCUAGUGGCGGACCCGUCGUGGCCUCCUCUGCGAAGUAGUGAUAUUCCGCAUCGGAGAGCGAUGAGCCCCUGCCGUUAAACCCCCAACUUUCUAAGGUUGACCUCAGAUCAGGUAGGAAUACCCGCUGAACUUAAGCAUAUCAAU
rnacentral:rRNA from 1 species